UUGCUUCUGCAGCACUUAUACUAAAAUUAGAAUGAUACAGAGAAGAUUAGCAAGGCCUCUGUGCAAGGAUGACAUCCAAAUUAGUGAAGUGUGCCACAUUUUU